rnacentral:rRNA from 1 species
UACGGAGGAUGCGAGCGUUAUCCGGAUUUAUUGGGUUUAAAGGGUGCGUAGGCGGGUUAUCAAGUCAGCGGUAAAAUCGUGGAGCUCAACCCCGUCGAGCCGUUGAAACUGUCAGACUUGAGUUGGCGAGAAGUACGCGGAAUGCGCGGUGUAGCGGUGAAAUGCAUAGAUAUCGCGCAGAACUCCGAUUGCGAAGGCAGCAUACCGGCGCCCUACUGACGCUGAAGCACGAAAGCGUGGGUAUCGAACAGG